AGGGAAUUUUCGGCAAUGGGGGGAACCCUGACCGAGCAAUGCCGCGUGAACGAUGAAGAUCUUCGGAUUGUAAAGUUCUGUUAUUGGGAAAGAACAGCAUGACUAGGAAAUGAGUUAUGUUUGACGGUACCUGAUUAGAAAGCCCCGGCUAACUAUGUGCCAGCAGCCGCGGUAAUACAUAGGGGGCGAGCGUUAUCCGGAAUUAUUGGGCGUAAAGCGUGCGUAGGCGGUUUAUUAAGUCUGACGUGAAAUCCCACAGCUUAACUGUGGAGGGUCGUUGGAAACUGGUAAACUUGAGUACAGUAGAGGUAAGUGGAAUUCCAAGUGGAGCGGUGGAAUGCGUAGAUAUUUGGAGGAACACCAGUGGCGAAGGCGGCUUACUGGGCUGGAACUGACGCUGAGGCACGAAAGCGUGGGGAGCAAAC
rnacentral:rRNA from 1 species